UAAAUACUACCUGAUGACCGAUAGUGAAGCAGUACCGUGAGGGAAAGGUGAAAAGAACCCCGGGAGGGGAGUGAAAUAGAACCUGAAACCGUGUGCCUACAACCGCUCAGAGCCCCUUAUGAGGGUGAUGAGGUGCUUUUUGUAGAACGAGCCAACGAGUUACGGUAUGUAGCAAGGUUAAGUACUUAAGGUACGGAGCCGAAGGGAAACCGAGUCUGAAUAGGGCGACUAGUUGCAUGCCGUAGACCCGAAACCGGGUGACCUAUCCAUGGCCAGGUUGAAGCGAGGGUAAAACCUCGUGGAGGACCGAACCACGUUGCUGUUGAAAAAGCAUGGGAUGAGCUGUGGAUAGCGGAGAAAUUCCAAUCGAACCCGGAGAUAGCUGGUUCUCUCCGAAAUAGCUUUAGGGCUAGCGUCGAGUAUGAGUAGUGGAGGUAGAGCACUGAAUGGGCUAGGGGGCAUAGCGCUUACCGAACCUUAUCAAACUCCGAAUGCCACAUACUUUGAGCUCGGCAGUCAGACUACGAAUGAUAAGAUCCGUGGUCAAAAGGGAAACAGCCCAGAUCGUCAGCUAAGGUCCCAAAGUGUAAGUUAAGUGGGAAAGGAUGUGAGAUUUCUAAGACAACUAGGAUGUUGGCUUAGAAGCAGCCAUUCAUUAAAAGAGUGCGUAAUAGCUCACUAGUCGAGAGAUCUUGCGCCGAAAAUGUAACGGGGCUAAACUUACCACCGAAGCUACGGGCUUGAACUUAGUUCAAGCGGUAGGAGAGCGUCGUAACCGGGCUGAAGUCGUACCGUAAGGAGCGGUGGACUGGUUACGAGUGAGAAUGUUGGCAUCAGUAGCGAGAUGUGGGUGAGAAUCCCACAGGCCGAAAACCUAAGGUUUCCUCAGGAAGGUUCGUCCGCUGAGGGUUAGUCGGGACCUAAGCCGAGGCCGAAAGGCGUAGGUGAUGGACAACUGGUUGAUAUUCCAGUACCACUACCAUCGUUAUUAUCGAUGGCGUGACGCAGGAGGAUAGUGUGUGCUAGCUAUUGGAUGCUAGUCUAAGCGUUUAGGCAGUGAGAGUAGGCAAAUCCGCUCUCAUAAUGCUGAGGCGUGAUGGGGAAGGUUCUACGGAACCGAAGUACAUGAUUCCACGCUGCCAAGAAAAGCGUCUAGAGAGAGAAGUAGUGCCCGUACCGCAAACCGACACAGGUAGGUGAGGAGAGAAUCCUAAGGCCGGCGGAAGAAUUACAGUUAAGGAACUCGGCAAAUUGACCCCGUAAGUUCGCGAGAAGGGGUGCCUACGAGAGUAGGCCGCAGAGAAUAGGCCCAAGCAACUGUUUAGCAAAAACACAGGUCUCUGCUAAAGCGUAAGCUGAUGUAUAGGGGCUGACGCCUGCCCGGUGCUGGAAGGUUAAGGGGAACACUUAGCGCAAGCGAAGGUGUGAACUUAAGCCCCAGUAAACGGCGGCCGUAACUAUAACGGUCCUAAGGUAGCGAAAUUCCUUGUCAGGUAAGUUCUGACCCGCACGAAUGGCGUAAUGACUUGGGCACUGUCUCAACUGUAAAUCCGGCGAAGUUGUAGUGCGAGUGAAGAUGCUCGCUACCCGCGAUUGGACGGAAAGACCCCGUAGAGCUUUACUGUAGCUUAGCAUUGAGUUUUGGUAUUGUCUGUACAGGAUAGGUGGGAGACUAGGAAACCAGGGCGUCAGCCUUGGUGGAGUCAACCUUGGGAUACCACCCUGACAGUACUGAAAUUCUAACUGGCGGCCAUGAAUCUGGUCACAGGACAUUGUUAGGUGGGCAGUUUGACUGGGGCGGUCGCCUCCUAAAAAGUAACGGAGGCGCCCAAAGGUUCCCUCAGAACGGUCGGAAAUCGUUCGAAGAGUGCAAAGGCAGAAGGGAGCCUGACUGCGACACCCACAAGUGGAGCAGGGACGAAAGUCGGGCUUAGUGAUCCGGUGGUACCUCGUGGGAGGGCCAUCGCUCAACGGAUAAAAGCUACCUCGGGGAUAACAGGCUGAUCUCCCCCAAGAGUCCACAUCGACGGGGAGGUUUGGCACCUCGAUGUCGGCUCGUCGCAUCCUGGGGCUGAAGUAGGUCCCAAGGGUUGGGCUGUUCGCCCAUUAAAGCGGCACGCGAGCUGGGUUCAGAACGUCGUGAGACAGUUCGGUCCCUAUCCGUCGCGGGCGUAGGAAAUUUGAGAGGAGCUGUCCUUAGUACGAGAGGACCGGGAUGGACUGACCUCUGGUGUACCAGUUGUUCCGCCAGGAGCACAGCUGGGUAGCUAAGUCGGGAAUGGAUAAACGCUGAAAGCAUCUAAGCGUGAAGCCAACCU
rnacentral:rRNA from 1 species